ACUGUCUCUAGAAAAUUUAUUAUUAAAAUUAACUUUUAAGUUAAAAGGCUUAAAUUUUACUUAAAGACGAGAAGACCCUAUAGAGUUUUAUACCUAUAAUUAUAAUGAGUACUUGGUUAUUUUAUUUUCUUGUCUGAUUAGGUAUUUGGUUGGGGUGACUUAAAGAUUAAAUAAACUCUUUAAAUUUAUAAUCAUUGAUUUGUGAAUUUAUAAUCUAGUUUUUUAAAGUUAAAAUAAAUUACCUUAGGGAUAACAGCGUAAUUUCUUUUUAGAGUUCUUAUUGAAAGAGAAGU
rnacentral:rRNA from 1 species